UAUAGCAAAGGCAGAAAAGAAGGCCACAGAGGUUAUCAAGGCUAGAAGGUCUAGGGAGGCUAAGUCAGGGGUGAAAAAACUAAGCCGCCAAGUAGUUGGUAUGUUGGCACUGCCUCAAACUCUAACUCAAACAACCAGUUACAGUGUCCUGCCAGCUAUCAAGAAGGGCACUAAAGUUACCCUCCAGUCCUCCAGCUCCCUCUCCCUCUCCGAUGACAACAAGGAGGCACUAGGGGCCGUCUGCCAGGUCCUGACCACCAGGGUGGGAGACAUCCUGAACAGUACCUGCAACAACGAUUACAAGGCCAGACUCAUCAUCC